GGAAAGGUUGCUCAGUGGUAGAGCACUUGCCUUGCAUGCAUGAGACCCUGGGUUCAAUUCCCCAGCACCA
rnacentral:tRNA from 1 species